AAAAUUCUUUUGUUCCCAUCAACGCACAAUCAAAGAAUCAAGCAUGAGAGCCUCUUCUAUUUUCUCUUUGGUGGUCAAUUGGCAGUAAUGAUGAAUGUUCUUCAAAACUUUAAAAAUUUUGUGACGCUUCUGGGGAAAAGAUCAGUCUUAGCAAGCAGCAUCUAUAGGAUAAGCUGUUCUGGAUUUAUUUUACUUUCUUUUUUCACAAGACCUUGUGCCUUUGGUCUUCGGUCCGAACAUGCUCCUGUUCAAAGCCGGUCU
rnacentral:lncRNA from 1 species